rnacentral:rRNA from 1 species
GGGUUGUGAGGUUAAGCGACUAAGCGUACACGGUGGAUGCCCUGGCAGUCAGAGGCGAUGAAGGGCGUGCUAAUCUGCGAUAAGCGCCGGUAAGGUGAUAUGAACCGUUAUAACCGGCGAUACCCGAAUGGGGAAACCCAGUGUGAUUCGUCACACUAUCAUUAACUGAAUCCAUAGGUUAAUGAGGCGAACCGGGGGAACUGAAACAUCUAAGUACCCCGAGGAAAAGAAAUCAACCGAGAUUCCCCCAGUAGCGGCGAGCGAACGGGGAGGAGCCCAGAGCCUGAAUCAGCAUGUGUGUUAGUGGAAGCGUCUGGAAAGGCGCGCGAUACAGGGUGACAGCCCCGUACACAAAAGCGCAUGUGCUGUGAGCUCGAUGAGUAGGGCGGGACACGUGGUAUCCUGUCUGAAUAUGGGGGGACCAUCCUCCAAGGCUAAAUACUCCUGACUGACCGAUAGUGAACCAGUACCGUGAGGGAAAGGCGAAAAGAACCCCGGCGAGGGGAGUGAAAAAGAACCUGAAACCGUGUACGUACAAGCAGUGGGAGCCCCACCUUUUGUAUAAUGGGUCAGCGACUAAGCCAGUGGUGAACUCCACAUACGCAUCCUUUGCUGAGGAUACGGUUAACGGAGCGAAAGCGACGUUCAACCUCAAAAGAAGCAGAGGGGGCUUAGUGGUGGGGUGACUGCGUACCUUUUGUAUAAUGGGUCAGCGACUUAUAUUCUGUAGCAAGGUUAACCGAAUAGGGGAGCCGGAGGGAAACCGAGUCUUAAUUGGGCGUUAAGUUGCAGGGUAUAGACCCGAAACCCGGUGAUCUAGCCAUGGGCAGGUUGAAGGUUGGGUAACACUAACUGGAGGACCGAACCGACUAAUGUUGAAAAAUUAGCGGAUGACCUGUGGCUGGGGGUGAAAGGCCAAUCAAACCGGGAGAUAGCUGGUUCUCCCCGAAAGCUAUUUAGGUAGCGCCUCGUGAAUUCAUCUCCGGGGGUAGAGCACUGUUUCGGCUAGGGGGCCAUCCCGGCUUACCAACCCGAUGCAAACUGCGAAUACCGGAGAAUGUUAUCACGGGAGACACACGGCGGGUGCUAACGUCCGUCGUGAAGAGGGAAACAACCCAGACCGCCAGCUAAGGUCCCAAAGUCAUGGUUAAGUGGGAAACGAUGUGGGAAGGCCCAGACAGCCAGGAUGUUGGCUUAGAAGCAGCCAUCAUUUAAAGAAAGCGUAAUAGCUCACUGGUCGAGUCGGCCUGCGCGGAAGAUGUAACGGGGCUAAACCAUGCACCGAAGCUGCGGCAGCGAACGUAUCACCCAAGACAACUUUACGGAGUUGACGAUUGACGGAGCGAAGCGACGUCAAAGCGUUCAUUAAAGUCGAGUUGGCUUAGGGAUACGUUCGUUGGGUAGGGGAGCGUUCUGUAAGCCUGUGAAGGUGGCCUGUGAGGGUUGCUGGAGGUAUCAGAAGUGCGAAUGCUGACAUAAGUAACGAUAAAGCGGGUGAAAAGCCCGCUCGCCGGAAGACCAAGGGUUCCUGUCCAACGUUAAUCGGGGCAGGGUGAGUCGACCCCUAAGGCGAGGCCGAAAGGCGUAGUCGAUGGGAAACGGGUUAAUAUUCCCGUACUUGGUGUUACUGCGAAGGGGGGACGGAGAAGGCUAUGUUGGCCGGGCGACGGUUGUCCCGGUUUAAGCGUGUAGGCUGGUUUUCCAGGCAAAUCCGGAAAAUCAAGGCUGAGGCGUGACGACGAGGCACUACGGUGCUGAAGCAACAAAUGCCCUGCUUCCAGGAAAAGCCUCUAAGCAUCAGGUAACAUCAAAUCGUACCCCAAACCGACACAGGUGGUCAGGUAGAGAAUACCAAGGCGCUUGAGAGAACUCGGGUGAAGGAACUAGGCAAAAUGGUGCCGUAACUUCGGGAGAAGGCACGCUGACAUGUAGGUGAAGUGAUUUACUCAUGGAGCUGAAGUCAGUCGAAGAUACCAGCUGGCUGCAACUGUUUAUUAAAAACACAGCACUGUGCAAACACGAAAGUGGACGUAUACGGUGUGACGCCUGCCCGGUGCCGGAAGGUUAAUUGAUGGGGUCAGCGCAAGCGAAGCUCCUGAUCGAAGCCCCGGUAAACGGCGGCCGUAACUAUAACGGUCCUAAGGUAGCGAAAUUCCUUGUCGGGUAAGUUCCGACCUGCACGAAUGGCGUAAUGAUGGCCAGGCUGUCUCCACCCGAGACUCAGUGAAAUUGAACUCGCUGUGAAGAUGCAGUGUACCCGCGGCAAGACGGAAAGACCCCGUGAACCUUUACUAUAGCUUGACACUGAACAUUGAGCCUUGAUGUGUAGGAUAGGUGGGAGGCUUUGAAGUGUGGACGCCAGUCUGCAUGGAGCCGACCUUGAAAUACCACCCUUUAAUGUUUGAUGUUCUAACGUGGACCCGUUACCCGGGUUGCGGACAGUGUCUGGUGGGUAGUUUGACUGGGGCGGUCUCCUCCUAAAGAGUAACGGAGGAGCACGAAGGUUGGCUAAUCCUGGUCGGACAUCAGGAGGUUAGUGCAAUGGCAUAAGCCAGCUUGACUGCGAGCGUGACGGCGCGAGCAGGUGCGAAAGCAGGUCAUAGUGAUCCGGUGGUUCUGAAUGGAAGGGCCAUCGCUCAACGGAUAAAAGGUACUCCGGGGAUAACAGGCUGAUACCGCCCAAGAGUUCAUAUCGACGGCGGUGUUUGGCACCUCGAUGUCGGCUCAUCACAUCCUGGGGCUGAAGUAGGUCCCAAGGGUAUGGCUGUUCGCCAUUUAAAGUGGUACGCGAGCUGGGUUUAGAACGUCGUGAGACAGUUCGGUCCCUAUCUGCCGUGGGCGCUGGAGAACUGAGGGGGGCUGCUCCUAGUACGAGAGGACCGGAGUGGACGCAUCACUGGUGUUCGGGUUGUCAUGCCAAUGGCACUGCCCGGUAGCUAAAUGCGGAAGAGAUAAGUGCUGAAAGCAUCUAAGCACGAAACUUGCCCCGAGAUGAGUUCUCCCUGAGACUUAGAGUCUCCUGAAGGAACGUUGAAGACGACGACGUUGAUAGGCCGGGUGUGUAAGCGCAGCGAUGCGUUGAGCUAACCGGUACUAAUGAACCGUGAGGCUUAACCUUACAACGCCGAAG